AGGACGAACGCUGGCGGCGUGCUUAACACAUGCAAGUCGAGCGGAAAGGCCCUUCGGGGUACUCGAGCGGCGAACGGGUGAGUAACACGUGAGCAACCUGCCCCUGGCUCUGGGAUAGCCUCCGGAAACGGGGAUUAAUACCGGACAUGACUCCUGACCGCAUGGUUGGGGGUGGAAAGUUUUUCGGCCAGGGUGGGCUCGCGGCCUAUCAGCUUGUUGGGGGGGUGACGGCCCACCAAGGCGACGACGGGUAGCCGGCCUGAGAGGGCGACCGGCCACACUGGGACUGAGACACGGCCCAGACUCCUACGGGAGGCAGCAGUGGGGAAUCUUGCGCAAUGCGCGAAAGCGUGACGCAGCAACGCCGCGUGGGGGAAGACGGCCUUCGGGUUGUAAACCCCUUUCACGGAGGGACGAAGGUUCGCCGGUGAAUGGCCGUGCGGAUUGACGGUACCUCCACAAGAAGGUCCGGCUAACUACGUGCUAGCAGCCGC
rnacentral:rRNA from 1 species